GGACUACUGGGGUAUCUAAUCCCGUUUGCUCCCCUAGCCUUCGCGCCUCAGCGUCAGGAGCUGUCCAGAGAUCCGCCUUCGCCACUGGUCUUCCUCACGAUAUCUACGCAUUUCACUGCUACACCGUGAAUUCCGAUCUCCUCUCCAGCCCUCUAGCAGAGCAGUAUCCAGUGCAAUUUCGGAGUUGAGCUCCGAGAUUUCACACCAGACUUACCCCGCCGCCUACGCGCCCUUUACGCCCAAUGAAUCCGAACAACGCUCGAGACCUCUGUAUUACCGCGGCUGCUGGCAC
rnacentral:rRNA from 2 species